GACGAACGCUGGCGGCGUGCCUAAUACAUGCAAGUUGAGCGCUGAAGGUUGGUACUUGUACCAACUGGAUGAGCAGCGAACGGGUGAGUAACGCGUGGGGAAUCUGCCUUUGAGCGGGGGCAACAGUUGGAAACCAAAUCUAAUACCGCAGUAAAAACUUAAACACAAGUUUUAAGGUUGGAAAAUGCAAUUUCAUAACUCAAAGAUGAUUCCGCGUUGUAUUUGCUAGUUUGUGAGGUAAAGGCUCACCAAGGCGAUGAUACAUAGCCGACCUGAGAGGGUGAUCGGCCACAUUGGGACUGAGACACGGCCCAAACCCCUACGGGAGGCAGCAGUAGGGAAUCUUCGGCAAUGGACGAAAGUCUGACAGAGCAACGCCGCGUGAGUGAAGAAGGGUUUCGGAUCGUAAAACUCUGUUGGUAGAGAAGAACGUUGGUGAGAGUGGAAAGCUCAUCAAGUGACGGUAACUACCCAGAAAGGGACGGCUAACUACGUG
rnacentral:rRNA from 1 species